UACAGAGGGGGCAAGCGUUGUUCGGAAUUACUGGGCGUAAAGGGCGCGUAGGCGGCCUGUUAAGUCGAACGUGAAAUCCCCGGGCUCAACCCGGGAACUGCGUCCGAUACUGGCAGGCUUGAAUCCGGGAGAGGGAUGCGGAAUUCCAGGUGUAGCGGUGAAAUGCGUAGAUAUCAGGAGGAACACCGGGUGGCGAAGGC
rnacentral:rRNA from 1 species